rnacentral:rRNA from 1 species
CGUAGGAUAGCUAUCCGUAGAUAGAAAGGUAGUGGCGAAAUACCUAUCGCACAAACCGAUAGCUGGUUGUUCUAGAAAUAUAUCUAAGUAUAGCUUUUAUAGGAAACAUAUGUUAAAAGCAAAUUUGGCUCAUUGAGGCCCCAACCCUCCUGGGGUUGGGGCCCCGAAGCAAGAUGUUUACUGUAAAAAGAUGGCUUUUUCAGGAUAAGCUGGGAAAGCUUUAUUUAAAGGUGGCUAGUGAAGUGUGAAAGAUUAUGUAGGUGGGUUUUAAGGAACUAUCUUUUUAGAGUGGGUUUGACUACACAAGUGUAUUUAUAUAAAAAUAAUAAUUUGUUUACCUUUUAGUAGUAUGGAACUAUUUUACGAAACGUGGGGAGUAAAAGAAAUAAUGUAAAGAUGAGUAGUUGAAAGACUAUAAAGUGCUUUUUGUUUCAGGGAAUAGGGCAAUAAAGAAAAAAGAGAUGGUAAUCAAAGCUAAAGGAACUCGGCAAAGUAGGGGACCGCCUGUUUAUCAAAAACAUGGCCCCUCGACCAUCAUGGGAGGUCGUGCCUUCCCGGUGA